rnacentral:hammerhead_ribozyme from 1 species
GCUGAUGAAUCCCAAACAGGACGAAACGCGCGUCC